ACAUCCAGAGAAUUUAGCAGAGAUGCUUUAGUGCCUUCGGGAACUCUGAGACAGGUGCUGCAUGGCUGUCGUCAGCUCGUGUUGUGAAAUGUUGGGUUAAGUCCCGCAACGAGCGCAACCCUUAUCCUUUGUUGCCAGCACGUAAUGGUGGGAACUCAAAGGAGACUGCCGGUGAUAAACCGGAGGAAGGUGGGGAUGACGUCGAGUCAUCAUGGCCCUUACGAGUAGGGCUACACACGUGCUACAAUGGCGCAUACAAAGAGAAGCGACCUCGCGAGAGCAAGCGGACCUCAUAAAGUGCGUCGUAGUCCGGAUUGGAGUCUGCAACUCGACUCCAUGAAGUCGGAAUCGCUAGUAAUCGUAAAUCAGAAUGUUACGGUGAAUACGUUCCCGGGCCUUGUACACACCGCCCGUCACACCAUGGGAGUGGGUUGCAAAAGAAGUAGAUAGCUUAACCUUCGGGAGGGCGUUUACCACUUUGUGAUUCAUGACUGGGGUGAAGUCGUAACAAGGUAAGCGUAGUGCU
rnacentral:rRNA from 1 species